rnacentral:piRNA from 1 species
UUCAUUAGUGUAGCCUUCGGUCUAGCAC